ACAACAUCUUUGUUUGUAUGUGGUGCUGAGGAUCGAACCCGGGCCACACGCAUGACAGGCGAGCGCGCUACCGCUUGAGCCACAUCCCCAGCCCUAUUGCCCAUUUUUAAUCAGGUUAUUUGUUUUGGGGCAACUGAGUUAUUGGGGUUCUUUAUAUAUGCUGGAUAUUAACCCCAUGCCACGUGUAUUGUUUGGAAAUGAUCACUUCUCCUGCUCAGUAGGUUGUCUCUUUACUCCAAAGAGGGUUUACUCUGCUCUUCAGAAAGAAGCACCUUAACACCCUGAAAAACUAUUGAGGAUCCCAAAGAGUUUUGGAGUUUAGGUUGUAUCUAUUGAUAAUAAUUAUCUUAGAUAUUGAGAGUCAGAAAUAUUUAAAAUUCAAGAACACAGAGGCACACAUCCCUCAGCUAUCAGAGACAACAUCACAUGUCAUGUCACCUCUGGAAAAGAUGAGAUGAUGGGAGUGAAAAAAGAAAGUAUCACCUUACCGUUAUUGUAAAAUAGUUUCAUCCCUGUAUUGCUACAGUAUGACAAAUUCAAUUCUUUAGGGUAAAUACUGAGGAGCGCGGUAUAGCUGGGUGCCAUUCCUCCAAACUCAGAAAGUCAAGGUUCAUAUGUUUUCUCUCAUGUCAAACCUAGAAAGGAGAAAAGGAAAAGGAAUGGUGGCGGAGAUAUCUCAUGAAAGUUAAAGGGAGACAGUAGAGAAGAGGAAAGGUACCAGAAGGGGAGGAGGGGGGGAGGGAAAGGACAAUACUGGACAACAAUACUGGCCAAAUUAUAUUGUUGUAUUGUGUCCAUGUAUGAAUAUGUAAUGAAUCCUACCAUUAUAUAUAAUGUACCAGUAAAAAUGUGGAAAAACAGUUUUAUCCCACAGACCCACUAAAAGGGCUUCAGAAACUCCCAAGAAUCUUUGCUGGCCGGGAGGGAGCAUACUAGAGACUGAACCCAGGGGUGCUUAACCACGGAACCACAUCCCCAGCCCUUUUUAUUUUGAAACAAGGUCUAAGUUGCUUAGGGCCUCACUAAGUUGCUGAGGCUUGCUUUGAACUAUCGAUCCUCCUGCUUCAGUCCCCAAGUCACUGGGAUUACCCAGCCCCCCAAGACUCUUUAGACCAUACUUUGAGAACCAAUGGGCUAGAUGAUUGGUUCCUUGGGACAGCCCUUUACAUAGGCCUAUGGAUUGAAGGGUUUGGCUGAAACCCUAGAUUUUGCUUUGUAGUGUCCUAGAACUGUAGACAUUGUAGGAAUUGUUUGGUAACACAAGCUCAGUGAUAACCCAGGAACUGAAUUCAAAUAUAGUGUUUUAAUUUCUUCAAAGAGUCAUCUCUAUCUAACUCACCUCUGAAGAACUUAAACUCCCAAGUCACAACAGUUCUUGUGGAGCAAACCCGUCACUUUGGUAGUUAUAUGAGGGAAAUUUGUAGGGUUUUCAGAGACUGCUGAGGUUCCACAUGAUAAUAUUCCCUCCCUCCCCCGCCACCUCCCCCCCACCACCACCACUAACAAACUUGUAUUUUGGCAAUUUGGUGGCAUUUUAGGAGGUAAUGUGUUUUCCUCCAUUUAUGAUAUUUUUCCUUCUCUUAAAAUAUUAUGUUAAUUGCCAAGAUGUGACUGGGUCAUAUUUAAUGCUUUCUUUCCUUUAUUUCUUGAAUGACUGAUGUGUGAAAGUGGGAUGGGUGGGGAAUGUAUGAGGCUUCUGUUCCCGUGGCUUUCACUGAAAAUGAAGCUGUACAAUAACCACAUUGAGCACUGCAGAAUGAUGAAAGAACAUGUAGGCCAGGGUGCACCCUACAGAAAAAAAUAUAUAUAUUAUUAAGAAAUAUAGGAGUCAUAAAGGAAAGAAAACUUACAGAGAAUAGAGCCUAAUCUGAAUUUUUCAGUGAGUUCCCAGGAAACACUUGGUAGUCUAUGCAUUAUUUUAUUGAUCCACCCAGUGCUCCAACAUGUGUUCUCAAAAUAUUUCUGCAUUUUAUUUUUACCAUGAAUCUUUAGGAGUCUUCCCUGAAAUCUUUAUUCCUGUCAGGUCAAAGGAUUGAGAAUUAAUUUGGGGUCUUAAAGAGUUCUCUUUGCUAUUAUGCACUCCUCUAAAAUACGUUGCCAUUAGUCUUCCCCAGGACAUUUGCCUUUUUUGAAGUUUUGUAUAAAUUAGCCUUGAAGAUUACACCAUAACUGAGGUUAGCAUUGAUUUAUGACAAGUGAAGGACAUACUCAUGGGUCUGUAAAGACAAGGACAAAAAAUUCAACUUACCGCCCUUACUAAAGGACUCCCCUUACCUUGACUCUCCUGAAUUAUUAAUGAAAUAAUUCACUACCACACCCUCCUUUUCCUAAAUGUUUAAUCAAUCCUUCUCAAUGAUGUGCUCCCUUCAGAGGAAGAAAGGGAGGAAGGGAAUUAUUGGACUGCUGAUCAUGUAUUGAAACAUGGUUGAAAAAUUUCGAUGUGGGGUGUUCCCUUCCCACACCUAUUCCAGGUGUUUCUGAGUAUAUAAGCCUGGGUCUGUGUCUACCAAGCUCACUGUAGACUCACUUUUACCUUUCUUCUCUGGUGGGAUGGGAUCAAUAGUCUCAGGAGCACAGCACCUAACAUGGUGCCUUACAAAGAGUAGUUUCAUAAUACAGAUUUGUUGGGAGAGGAAGAAACGAAUGUGUCCUUUUCAGACAAACUCAUCAGAAAUUACCUCAUUCUCUAUAUGUCCUUUUCUGUUUGGCAGCUGACUGGCACCAAAUUUUGUUUGCCUUUGUCUACAAUGGCCAACCCUCUCAGAGUGCCUGGGACUGAGGGGUUUCCUGUACUGUACAACUUUCCCCAUCUUAAAAUUGGAAAAGUCCCACACAAACCCAGGACUCUAGGUCAGUCAUCUUGCCUUCUUGCUGGGAGCUAUUUAUUUUUCUUUAGUUUUCAUCACCAGUUUCCCUUUCUUUGUAAGUGUUUAUAGAUCACAGACGGUGGAGUCCGUGGUGAGAAGGAAAAAAGAAUGUACGAACUAUGGUGUGCUGUGGAGGUUCCCAAUGUCUGGUCCCCAGACCAGCAACAUCAGCAUCAUUUGACAAUUUCUUUAGAAAUGCAACUGUUCACGUCCCACCCUGACCUACUAAAUCAGGAACUCUGGGAGUGGAGACCACCAGUUUGUUUGAGCAAACCCUCCAGGGGAUUCUGAUGCACACCAAAGUUUGAGAAUUACGUGAAGGGAAGAGGCCUGUUGCUGAAUUUCUAAGCCCAGUUCUGGCACUAAAUGACUUGAGGCAUGCCCUUCUAUUUUGAACUUCAGUUUGUUCUUCGGUGAAGUGAAAGCCUUGGACUAGGCAGCAUCUAAAGGUUCUGCCAUUCUGUAGUUAUGCGACUUAGGUCAUUUUGUCUGGCUUUUCAUUUACCUCUCAUACAGAUACAGAACAGAAAACACCUACCUCGGGAGGGGAGGGGAGGGGGGAUAGUAGAGGAUAGGAAAGGCAGCAGAAUACAACAGACACUAGUAUGACAAUAUGUAAAUCAAUGGAUGCGUAACUGAUGUGAUUCUGCAAUCUGUAUACGGGGUAAAAAUGGGAGUUCAUAACCCACUUGAAUCAAAGUGUGAAAUAUGAUAUAUCAAGAACUAUGUAAUGUUUUGAAC
rnacentral:lncRNA from 1 species